UACGUAGGGGGCAAGCGUUGUCCGGAAUCAUUGGGCGUAAAGAGCGUGUAGGCGGCCCGGUAAGUCCGCUGUGAAAGUCCAGGGCUCAACCCUGGGAUGCCGGUGGAUACUGUCGGGCUCGAGUCCGGAAGAGGAGUGUGGAAUUCCUGGUGUAGCGGUGAAAUGCGUAGAUAUCGGGAGGAACACCCGUGGCGAAGGCGGCUUCCUGGGUCCAUCCUGACACUGAGGCGCGAAAGCGUGGGGAGCGAACGGG
rnacentral:rRNA from 1 species